rnacentral:rRNA from 1 species
UACAGAGGGGGCAAGCGUUGUUCGGAAUUACUGGGCGUAAAGGGCGCGUAGGCGGCCCGCUAAGUCGAACGUGAAAUCCCCGAGCUCAACUCGGGAACUGCGUCCGAUACUGGUGGGCUUGAAUCCGGGAGAGGGAUGCGGAAUUCCAGGUGUAGCGGUGAAAUGCGUAGAGAUCUGGAGGAAUACCGGUGGCGAAGGCGGCCCCCUGGACAAAGACCGACGCUCAGGUGCGAAAGCGUGGGGAGCAAACAGG